rnacentral:rRNA from 1 species
GACGGGGGGGGCAAGUGUUCUUCGGAAUGACUGGGCGUAAAGGGCACGUAGGCGGUGAAUCGGGUUGAAAGUGAAAGUCGCCAAAAAGUGGCGGAAUGCUCUCGAAACCAAUUCACUUGAGUGAGACAGAGGAGAGUGGAAUUUACGGUGUAGCAGUGGAAUGCGUAGAUAUCGUAAGGAAGACCAGUGGCGAAGGCGAAUCUCUGGACAGUUACUGACACUGAGGCACGAAGGCCAGGGGAGCAAACGGG